GUCAGUGAUUUAGCUACGCGUGUACCACCUCUUCCCAUUCCGAACAGAGAAGUGAAAUCAUGUAGCCCCGAUGAUAGUUCGCAAGGGCGAAAGUAGGGUUUGCUGACU
rnacentral:rRNA from 1 species